rnacentral:lncRNA from 1 species
GAGGCAUGAGGUUCAUGCAGCCAGAGUAGAUGACAGCCCUGGGAUGGCCUGUGUUGCAGGCUGGGCCCCCGCCCUGGCUUCUGGUCUUGCGCCGAGCCCCAGGGUGCUCCCGAGCUGGCGGGGAUGAAUGCUCCUGUCUCAGACCCCAGCCUGGGGCACCGAUGUGGCUUCUCCUGGGUGGGGCUGGCCCCUGAGCCCACCUUGGCUUGAUGAGCUGGGGCUGUAGAAGGAGGGGCUUGCCUCUUUAGCAUCUGCUCCUCAGAGAAGGGGUCCUACAUUUGCUGGAACGUUCCCUGUGCUUGCUGCUCUGCACGCCCCUCCGUUGCCCCUCUGCAAACCGUGAUCCCGCACCUGUGUGUUCACUUGCUUUAUGAGGUUAGGAGCUGCGGUCCCAGGGGCCUUGGAGGAGUGGCCAGGCCAGACGACACUUCAGCUGGUGGUGUCCCAAGGGGAUUCUGCCUCCAGAGGCACCUCGAGAGACCAGCACUCUGCGGGGUCCUUCUCUUUGGUUCCUGCCCCUCCCCUUUUCCAAGGGAUCAAGGUCAGGAAGCAAAUGAGAUUCCCUGGUCCCCAUCUCCCUCCCACCCCCCACCCAGAGAAAGAUGCUUUUAUGUCCUUUCAGGCGUUCCCCAGGAGCCGAGGAAGAAAGGCAGGGAAGACAGGCUAGGACCACUUGGCUGGAGAAACAACAGGCCAUUUUCCAGCUGGAUCUAAAUGAAAGAUUUGGCAGCCUGUCAGCCCACAGCAUCCGCCAGAAUCCCUCCCUGGGGACUGGCGAGACUCAGCCGCUAUCUGCAGUGCCGCCUGCGCCUUCCAGACGAAGGGUCCUCCCCUCCUCCCUGAGCUUGACCUUCCCGCUGUUAUUAGCAGUGACGUCACUAACAAUGAUUAUUCUUCCUGCAGUUAUUAUCAUGCACCUUCUUCGUGCUGUGUGCCAUUCGUAUCUCAUUUAUUUCUCAAAUCACCCCUCGGGGGCAGGAGAGAGGUGCACAGCAGUUACAUUUUUUUUCUGUUGAGAAAGAGGAGGCCAGGCAUUGUGUUCUCUGCCAGAUGUCACCUGGCCCCCUUCACCAUGUCCUGGGAAAAUGCCCUAUGUCCCCAAGUCCUGGGUGGGCAGGGCUGCCGUGACCUGGAAGCCCUAGGAGGGGUGCUCCUCGCCAAACCCCAAAAGUCCAGGGUCCACCCGGCCCACCUCCUUUGCCCCAUCUGCUCCACGGACCCCUGACCUCGGUCGUGUGGUGAUCAAGACAGGUGAGAGGCGGGGUGACUGAGCCCUGAGGGCCCACAGGAACAGAGUCUGUCACCUCCAAGCGGAAAAAGAGGCUACUCCAAGAAGUCCAAGUGAUCAGAAUUCAGUGGUGGCCUGGUGUCCUCAGCAAGUGACUUCUGAGAUUAGACUUUGAGCAUUUUCUUUCCCUUUUUUGUGGGGGAGGGGGGAGCAGGGACACGGGCCAGGGACAAAGCAGUGCAAACCUUUGCGAAUAAAGGGAGGAAAGGCCCCCUGCCACCGCCCCUGAGAGAGAAAACAAAACGGCAGUUACAAUGGAGUGGUCAAAAGUACCCAAAAUUGGAGUUCCCGUUGUGGCUCAGCAGGUUAAAAACCCAAUGUAGAGUCCAUGAAGAGGCAGGUUCAAUCCCUGGCCUCGCUCAGUGGGUUAAGGAGCCAGCAUUGCUGAGAGCCCUGUGGGGUAGGUCGCAGGUGUGGCUCAGAUCUGGAGUUGCUGUGGCUGUGGCGUAGGCUGGCAGCUGCCCCUCUGAUUCAAACCACAGCCCAGGAACCCCCAUAUGCCACAGGUGCAGCUGUAAAAAGAAACAGGGAAAAAAUACCUACAAUUGACUACAUAAAUUUUGGAAUAUAAUUCUGCAUUGUUUGUACUGAGUCACGGUAAAAGUCAUACAUUUUUGGUAAAGAUAGAUCAUAAAAGCAGAGAAAGCCCUAGGGAGGCUGGAAGAGGCUACACCCUUCCGGGGGGUGGGGGGGGGGCAGUAGCUGGCUCCUGCCCUUUGAGCAUCGUGCAGGCUCGCACCUGCCCAGACCUCUCCAACCAAGCCUUUGACGAGGUCCAUUCUCCACUCCUGGCUUCUUGUGCAACUUGUCUUGCUGCCUUCCGGGAGGAGGGUUGAGACUCGUGCUGGCUUGGGAAUAAAUCCUGCCAGUCAGAGGAGGCACAUUUGCAAGGAAUUCAUGUCCCACUGCUGCCAGGGAACUCCAGAGCCCUCCUUCCACACCAAGCUCCCUCCACGUUGCUGAGCAGCCCCCAGGGGCCCCCGUGUCUGUCUCCUCAGCCAUCUGACAAACUGGACAACCACCAAAUGUACAGUCAUAGCGUUGUCCCAGCAAUCCAGAUAGUUCUGCCUGGGGCCCUGGAAACUGGCAGGAAGGGCCCUUCCAAAUGUUUAUACUUGAGGAGUUCCCAUCGUGGCUCAGUGGUAACAAACCCAACUCGUAUCCAUGAGGAUGCAGGUUCAAUCCCUGGCCUUGCUCAGCAGGUUAAGGAUCUGGCACUGCUAUGGCUGUGGUGUAGGUUGGCAGCUCAGCUCAGAUUCAACCCCUAGCCUGGGAAAUUCCGUAUGCUGCAGGUGUGGCCCUAAAAAAAAAAAAAAAAAAAAAAAA